rnacentral:tRNA from 1 species
UGCCCAGAUAGCUCAGUCGGUAGAGCAGAGGACUGAAAAUCCUCGUGUCGCUGGUUCGAUUCCGGCUUUGGGCACCAA